rnacentral:rRNA from 1 species
UACGUAGGGUGCAAGCGUUGUCCGGAAUUAUUGGGCGUAAAGAGCUCGUAGGCGGUUUGUCACGUCUGCUGUGAAAACGCGAGGCUCAACCUCGCGCCUGCAGUGGGUACGGGCAGACUAGAGUGCGGUAGGGGAGAUUGGAAUUCCUGGUGUAGCGGUGGAAUGCGCAGAUAUCAGGAGGAACACCAGCGGCGAAGGCGGCACUCUGGGCUGGAACUGACGCUGAGGAGCGAAAGCGUGGGUAGCAAACAGG